GCAAGUCGAGGGGUAACAGGGAAGCUUGCUUCCGCUGACGACCGGCGCACGGGUGAGUAACGCGUACACGACCUACCUUAUACUGAGGAAUAGCCCCGGGAAACUGGGAGUAAUACCUCAUAGUAAUAUUACUUUACGAAAUAAUAUUUAAAGCUCCGGCGGUAUAAGAUGGGUGUGCGUUAGAUUAGCUAGUUGGUAAGGUAACGGCUUACCAAGGCUACGAUCUAUAGGGGGCGUGAGAGCGUGACC
rnacentral:rRNA from 1 species